GGGAGAUACGCUCCGGAGAGGGCUGGUCGGAACGGCUGGGUGAAGUUCUCGCCAGUUGCCGGGUGUUCGUCCCGCUCUUCUCCCCCC
rnacentral:tRNA from 1 species